rnacentral:rRNA from 1 species
AUUGAACGCUGGCGGCAGGCCUAACACAUGCAAGUCGAACGGUAGCAGGAAGCAGCUUGCUGCUUCGCUGACGAGUGGCGGACGGGUGAGUAAUGUCUGGGAAACUGCCUGAUGGAGGGGGAUAACUACUGGAAACGGUAGCUAAUACCGCAUAACGUCGCAAGACCAAAGAGGGGGACCUUAGGGCCUCUUGCCAUCGGAUGGGCCCAGAUGGGAUUAGCUAGUAGGUGGGGUAACGGCUCACCUAGGCGACGAUCCCUAGCUGGUCUGAGAGGAUGACCAGCCACACUGGAACUGAGACACGGUCCAGACUCCUACGGGAGGCAGCAGUGGGGAAUAUUGCACAAUGGGCGCAAGCCUGAUGCAGCCAUGCCGCGUGUAUGAAGAAGGCCUUCGGGUUGUAAAGUACUUUCAGCGGGGAGGAAGGGAGUAAAGUUAAUACCUUUGCUCAUUGACGUUACCCGCAGAAGAAGCACCGGCUAACUCCGUG